AGAGUUUGAUCAUGGCUCAGGAUGAACGCUAGCUACAGGCUUAACACAUGCAAGUCGAGGGGCGAGCAUGGUCUUAGCUUGCUAAGGCCGAUGGCGACCGGCGCACGGGUGAGUAACACGUAUCCAACCUGCCGUCUACUCUUGGACAGCCUUCUGAAAGGAAGAUUAAUACAAGAUGGCAUCAUGAGUCCGCAUGUUCACAUGAUUAAAGGUAUUCCGGUAGACGAUGGGGAUGCGUUCCAUUAGAUAGUAGGCGGGGUAACGGGCCCACCUAGUCUUCGAUGGAUAGGGGUUCUGAGAGGAAGGUCCCCCACCAUUGGAACUGAGACACGGUCCAAACUCCUACGGGAGGGCAGCA
rnacentral:rRNA from 1 species